UGAGAGUCCAUCCCAGCCUGCACAUCUCAGCUCACAUGGGCCCCCUGCUUGGAGCACCGGCCCGUUUUCCCUGUCUGUGGUGAGGAAACUGAGGACUCGGUAUGAAUGACACAAAGCCAUGCUGCUGAGAAAACUAUUAUUCAAGCCUCUAGUGGCCUCUCUCCUUCCUGACACCUUCUAGUAUUGGCACAGAAGAGGGUCUGGGUUGGUGAUGCAGCUGGCGAGGGAGAGGGUGCGCACUGAUAAUACAGGCUGAGGUUGGAGGCCUCUGGGCCGAGUCAUCAAUUGAGUAGCUGAUGGUGGAAGCGGGCCGGCUUGGCAGAGGUCCAGGGCAUCUGUGGGAUGCAGCCAGUGGUUCAGUCCUCUUCCACUUCUGAAGUCUACACCACAGAUUUGGCACAGUUUGCCUGGAGCCAUUCCCCAAGUGUUUUGGGUCUGUUCCUACUGCUUCAUAUGAGUUUGCUUCCUUACGGAUAGAGACGUUUUUGCAGCCUAAGCUGCAUCUAAUAAUUACAACCCUUCGUGUUCAUUGAGUAGACCCUGGCUGAGCCCUUGUCCAACCCCAGUCCCUGUGCCAGGUACUCAAGAGUGAAAUAAGCCAGUCCAGGCCUGCGAAGAAGCUAUGACACAGUAGCCUGAGGAUGGGCUUUGGCACCAGAUAUACCUGAGGGCAAGAUGUACAAGGUGUGUUACUGUGGACAUGUGAUAGAGCCUCUUGAAGCUCUGCAUUCUCCAUCUUUACACCAGAGCAGUUUUGAGGAUCAAACAAGAUGAUUAUGUCAAGGGCAUAAACAUAGCACCUGGCACAGAGCCCACACAACACAGAGUAUCUGUUAUUAUUACUAAAAAACACUUCUGUGUUUCACUUUCUCAUUUAAGCCUCGCUUACUCUGAUAGGUUGGUAUUAUUUUCUCAGGUUUAUGAAUGAGAAUUUGAAGCUGAUUUGCCUAGUGUUACAACGCCAGUAAGAAAUCAAGCUAAGUUUCAAAUUGCAGCCCAGAGUUUUAUCUAUGGAUGUAUUGAAGGUGAUCAAUACAUGCUAACUAGAAUGAACCUUGCCUGGCGUGUCUGGGAGCUAAGGGAACGGAUGGGUGACACACAAACAGCCUGAUUCAGAUGGCAGAAGGACACUAGCCAGGCCCCAGAUAUGGGGCAUAGAAACGGACCACUGAGGUCACUGCAAUAUCCAGUUUCCCCAGUAUUUAGCACAUAUCCGGCAUUCAUCAGUAUUGGAUGAUUUAACAAAUGAAACAAAACUCUGACGACAGCCCUGAGCAAUCCACCGAUAACAAUGACUUACAGUCAAGAACUCGAAUUCUUCCAAAUCUGACUCGGCCAUUUACUGUGGGACAAGCUUCGGGCCUUAGUUUCCUCCCUGAAAUGGGGCUGAACAUGCCCACAUCACUGUGAAAUGAUGUAUGCGGAGGAGUCUGGUAAAUUAUAAAGGUUUUCAUGCACAUAAAAGCAAUCAUCAUCAUGCUAUGGACGACUAAGGUGGCAAAGUGUGACGUCAAACACCUCGAGUUUGAAUCCCAGGUCUUCCUGGUACCAGCCUGUGAGGCCCUGAGCAUGUCACUGUUCUCUGAGCCUCAGUUUUCUCAACCAUAAAAUGAAGAUACCACCUACCUUGUAGGAUUUCAAACAAGGAUCAGAGAUAACACAGGCUUUGGAGUAAGGCAGACUUGGUUUCAAAUCCUAACUCUGCCUCCUACUAACUGAGCCCUCCCAAAUCUGUCCUAUCACGAAUGAUGAGGUUGUUGGGACAGUGACACAGAGAUGAUGUUGGUAAAAGGCCUGUCACACUGUGAGCCCUGGAAGAAUGUAGGUGAUCAUCUAGAUACUGGUACAGUGGGGGAGGACUCAGUGCAGUGUUUAAAAGUGGGAGCUUGGAAGCUACCCUCCCAAGCUUUGCCAACCUACUACCACCUUGCACAAGCUGCUUAAACUCUCUGUACCUCAGUUUCCUUAUUUGUAAAUGGGGAUAAUAAUAGUACCAACCUCAGAGUGUUGCUAUGCGAAUGGAAUAAAUUAAUACAUGUAAAGCACUUUGAACAAUGCUUGGCAUAGAGUAAGCACUUGAUAAAUGUUAGGUGCUAUUAAUAGUAAUGUUAACAAUAAUAUUAAUCACCAUGUGGAAUAAAAGGGAGGGACUGUUUAAUCCUGGGACACGGGCAUCCCAUGGAAUAAUUCCCUGGAAGUUCCUGGGCAGCAGUUUGGGGGCAAGUUCUUAGCCUCUGAGAGGAAAACUCUUCUAUGGAAAGGACAUGAGGCUGGGGGCUCCUGAGCAAAAAUCCCAGUCCCGCUGAUCAGGAGGCCAGCCUCUGGGGAGGCAAGUCAGGCUCCUUGGAAGGGACACUGUGUUCCCAGCCGCCUGACUCAGGGGAACAAAGGCACGUGUGUGUGGGGGGGGGGGGGAGGGAGGGGAAUGUUUCUCUUUCAAGAGCGGAACAAAGGAUCUGAGGCAUAGUUGAGUGCGUUCCAAUCCCCUCCCAAGCUAGCUCCCAUUCCUUAGAUGAUUGUCCAACAUUUUCAACCUUCUAGCUUCCUCCUGAAAGGUGACUGGGGGGAGGGGGUGACAGGCUCCAUUUCACUCUACCCUCUGUCAGUCUCCAAGAGGCAGGAUUUAUAUGUGCCAAACCUCUAAGAUCUCUCUUAGGAAGUCUCCAUCCUGCGCGGGAGUGGGGUGGGGACCCCUGGGGAACUGAGGGUUAAUGGAUGACACAAGGCACUGCAAGUGACAACCUUAAUGUCCCUCUAGGGGGAGUCCAAGACUGAAACUGCUACUGAGUGGAUGGAGCCAUCCAGAAAACCCAGGAGUUCUAACCAAACCUGUAGCGUGGAGUAGGGGAAAAGGUCCGACAGAAUUAGGUAGAAACCCACUUUCUAACUCUUAAAGGGAUAAUCAGGGGCAGGAGAGAGAAGCUAGGUGAAGGGUGAAAGGGGAGGGAGUAAAGAAAGUAGCUGACAAGAGGAAAGGGAGGGACACAGUAAAAAAAAAAGUAGUCUGCGGGGUGGAAAGCCUUUAGGAACAUUACUUCCCAGUUUCCAUAAUCUCGCCAGCAGGAAUCAGGCUGCUGGGCUGGGACAGGAAGCAGUCCAUGGAAGUCAUGGCAAUGGCAUUUCCUGAAUGAGAAAAACCUCUAGUUCCGAGGGGAGCUCUGGAGUCUGCCCAAGAAGCCCUGUAGCUUGGAGCUAGCUGUAAGGCUCUAGCUCGGCCUCAGAGUCUCAAGGAUGAAACCAAUAGCGGAAGGUUCCAAAGGCAGUUUUUUCCUGCAAAAACACUAUUUGCAAAAAAUCAAUAUGUAA